rnacentral:snoRNA from 1 species
ACCCUCCAGCUUCCUUACGCAUCAGGUCUAAACACGGGGUGAGUGGCUAUAAAAGGGGGAAAAAAAUGAAACCUGAAGCAGACUUGGAUUCUUUUGUGACACACAGGUUGAUUUCAACUAAAA